AAAAACAUGUUUAUCUGUAACUUUUAUUAUUCAUUAUUAUAUUCAGGAUUUCCCGAUUCCAAAGGAAAGUGUUUUCAGGCAGCAGACCCAUGAUCCCUUUCCUGAUUUCAAAAGUGAGGUGUGCAGAGGCAAAAGAAGUGCUUCGCAUUUUAGGUGGCAGAUCUGGCCAGGAGGAAAAAGGAGUCAACUAUAUGAACUUCCUUGGAACUCCUAGUAGAAAAACAAAAUCAAUGUUCUUUCGCCAUUACAUUUCCUAUAUUCCUUUUGAGAACUAUAGCAAACAAGGAUAUAUAUUUUAUUCUGGCUGUGCACCGCCCUGAGUCCUUCGGGAGAAGGGCGGUAUACAAAUUAAAAUAUUAUUAUUAUUA